rnacentral:rRNA from 1 species
GAUGAACGCUGGCGGCGUGCUUAACACAUGCAAGUCGAACGAUGAAGCCCAGCUUGCUGGGUGGAUUAGUGGCGAACGGGUGAGUAACACGUGAGUAACCUGCCCUUAACUCUGGGAUAAGCCUGGGAAACUGGGUCUAAUACCGGAUAGGAGCGCCUACCGCAUGGUGGGUGUUGGAAAGAUUUAUCGGUUUUGGAUGGACUCGCGGCCUAUCAGCUUGUUGGUGAGGUAAUGGCUCACCAAGGCGACGACGGGUAGCCGGCCUGAGAGGGUGACCGGCCACACUGGGACUGAGACACGGCCCAGACUCCUCUGGGAGGCAGCAGUGGGGAAUAUUGCACAAUGGGCGAAAGCCUGAUGCAGCGACGCCGCGUGAGGGAUGACGGCCUUCGGGUUGUAAACCUCUUUCAGUAGGGAAGAAGCGAAAGUGACGGUACCUGCAGAAGAAGCACCGGCUAACUACGUG